rnacentral:rRNA from 1 species
UACAGAGGGUGCAAGCGUUGUUCGGAAUUACUGGGCGUAAAGCGCGUGUAGGCGGUCUCGUAAGUCGGGUGUGAAAGCCCUGGGCUCAACCCAGGAAGUGCACUCGAAACUACGAGGCUAGAGUACUGGAGAGGUUGGUGGAAUUCUCGGUGUAGAGGUGAAAUUCGUAGAUAUCGAGAGGAACACCGGUGGCGAAGGCGGCCAACUGGACAGAUACUGACGCUGAGACUCGAAAGCGUGGGGAGCAAACAGG